rnacentral:lncRNA from 1 species
ACGGGGCUCGGCGCCGGCGGAAGGGGCGCGGCAACGGCGAACGGGGCGCGCGUUCCGGCGACGAAGGCGGAGCUCUUCACUCUUCAGCUGCUAAGACUAACAAAAAGCUAACAAAAAAGCCUGCGAGGCAUGUGUCUCUUGCAGGGGAGACGAGAAGCUUGUUUGGGGCACAGUUCUAUCCUAGCUGGAGAGGAAUCUGGCUGAGGCUUCUUGACACAUAAUGCAUUGUGCAUGGCCUCAGGUCGGCCAGGCGAGAGAUCCAGGCCAAUCCGAUCCGCGCGCCCCCGCGGUCGGGGGGUGGAUGUCGUUGUUUUUGCCUGCCUGCUGCGGCGCGCCGGUGCCGCGGCGGCGUCAGCAGCAGCAGGCAGGAAACGGCCGGUCUCUUCCGUGUGCGCAAUUAAUUCCGGGCGGUUUUUCGGAUCAGAUCGAUGUCGUUUUCUUUAAGGUCUGGUUCACUGGGUGGAGAUUACUACCUUGUUCUAAUCACGCGUACACGACUAAAAAUCUUUUAAUGUAGCAUGACUGUAAUACUCCAUAUUUCUCUUAUUUGAGAUAGUUAACUUUUGAAUUAUAUUUGAUAAUUUAUUUUAUUUAAUAUUUUCUUUAUAA